rfam:Haliea rubra DSM 19751 genomic scaffold scaffold49, whole genome shotgun sequence.
GUCGUGCUGGUGGCAACGGCUAGCGUCGGGUACCCCCGUCCUCUGGCCUACUGCAUCAACGGUUUCAGUUGGUUCAGCUGCCCGCAUGUCCCGUAAAACGGUGCUGCCGCAUGGGUGGUCGCCGUGGGUCCGACACUGCGCUACCCCGCAGGGCGACACGCACGGGUUCUCGUGAUUGUCAUUCCCCCUUUGGCGAGUAGACGCUGUUGUUGCGUCCGGCG